AUUGAACGCUGGCGGCAGGCCUAACACAUGCAAGUCGAGCGGAUGAAGGGAGCUUGCUCCUGGAUUCAGCGGCGGACGGGUGAGUAAUGCCUAGGAAUCUGCCUGGUAGUGGGGGAUAACGUCCGGAAACGGGCGCUAAUACCGCAUACGUCCUGAGGGAGAAAGUGGGGGAUCUUCGGACCUCACGCUAUCAGAUGAGCCUAGGUCGGAUUAGCUAGUUGGUGGGGUAAAGGCCUACCAAGGCGACGAUCCGUAACUGGUCUGAGAGGAUGAUCAGUCACACUGGAACUGAGACACGGUCCAGACUCCUAUGGGAGGCAGCAGUGGGGAAUAUUGGACAAUGGGCGAAAGCCUGAUCCAGCCAUGCCGCGUGUGUGAAGAAGGUCUUCGGAUUGUAAAGCACUUCAAGUUGGGAGGAAGGGCAGUAAGUUAAUACCUUGCUGUUUUGACGUUACCAACAGAAUAAGCACCGGCUAACUUCG
rnacentral:rRNA from 1 species